GGUGGGGUCGCAUAGUGGCCUAGUGCGGCGGUCUUGAAAACCGCUGUCUCGCAAGGGACCGUGAGUUCGAAUCUCACCCCCACCGCCU
rnacentral:tRNA from 4 species